CAUACAAAGAGCUGAGCUGGAGCAGGGGCUGCUUGGCAGGCACAGGGUUUCCACAAACACAGGCUGAGCUGCACAUCUCUACUAGCUGGGCCCCAUGUGAAGAUGCCAUCCCAUACUCGCAGGCAGACCCCACCCAGGACAAGGGACACUAUUACAACAUGGUUAAAAGCUACUGUUUAGAUGGGAUCUACCUGUCUCUGCAUAACUCAGGUAAAGCUUUGGACAGCCCAGGGUUUUAACAUGCUUGCAACGCUGGGCCAUGGUUAGGUCCCAUCUACCCUGCAGCUUUUCACCAUGCUAUAACAGAGACCCCUGACUCAGUUAAAGUUGUACUUGAGCUGGGCCUCAGAAACAUUAAAUUUGCCAUUGGAUCAGACCAUCAGCUGAGUGAGUCCAGCAUGGCCCCACAAGCAAGAGCCUGCACCUGACCGACUAUACCAAAGGUGGACAAACUACGGCCCGCGGGUCACAUCCGACCCACGGGACCGUCCUGCCCGGCCCUUGAGCUCCUGGCUGGGGAGGCUACCCCCGGCCCCGCCCCUGCUGUUCCCCGUCCCACACAGCCAUGCUGCCACCGGGCAGUGUGACUGGCUCCGGCCGGGUGGCGAACUCCUGCUGCUCUGAGCAGCAUGGAAAAGAGUUUUUCCUGCAUGAAAUACUCACAUCCGCCAACACGAUGAUCGACGCAGGGUGCAGUGAAAGCUGCCAGAACUAACACACGCUCUGGAACCAACCAGACCACGCAGAGAGAUCAACUGGACAUAAAUGGAGCAGCCAGCAGGUAUAUGCUACCUAGAUAUAUCAGAUGCAUUUCCUGCCUUCCAUGCUGUUGAGUGUACUUCCAGGCCAUGGACUAAUAUAUAUAUAUUUCUGUCCAGAAUCAUAUCAGUAAGACAAAUACUAUAAUUCUUCACAGACAUUUAUAUACAUCUCAUAUAUAUUUAUAUAUAUCCUUAUAUAUAUUGUUAACUGUUGCAUGUUCAUAUUUGAUGAAUAAAAUAAAUUAAUACAUUUUACUUCAGUCACUAGCAAAACAAUUAAAUAAAUGUUAAGAGACAAAAUUCUUUAAGUGCCUACAGGAUAAUGGAACUAAGAGCAAAUAAGCUGGGGAUGUAUAAAUCACAAAUCAUGCCAGACUAAUCUGAUCACCUCUUUUUUGUUGUUGAUUGAAUUACAAAAGAGCAGAUGAAGGGAAUGCAGUAGCUGCAAUAUAUCUGGACUUAGUAAAGCAUUUGAUAUGGUGCUUCACAAAAUCUUACUUGAAAAAUUAUUUCAAAUUGGCUUGGCUAUGAGCACUGGCAUAAAGCAGCAUAAAUAAUAAUAAUACAUUUUAUUUAUAUAGCUCUUAUCUGCCAGUGCUCUUCUAGGUAGUCCACAAAAACACACCACUCGCAUUAAAAAAACCGAAGUAUGCAUAUGAAUUCAAAACAAGGUAAUGGAGUGUAAACAAAGGGCAAUAAAAUAGCGAAGUUUAGAGUUGGGGGAAGCUGUCUGCAGCAGGAUUGGUGUUAAGUCUGGUUUUAUUUAACAUCAUUAGUAAUUAUUUGGAAAUUAUUAAUUAUUAGACACCACAUUAACUAUAAAGCUGAUACUUGUAUGUUUAGGGGAACCAUUACCUUUCUCUGAAGCAUCUGAUACUGGCCACUAACCGGAGAAGGAUACUGGACUAUUUCAGAUCCAGUCUGUUCAUUUUUAUGCUCCAACGAUAAUAAAAUCAGGAGGUCACUGAGGAUCGGGAAGUCAUACAAAAAGCACCUAGACGGCUUAGAAAACACGGAAGGAAACAAAACAAGGCCCAAACCUAGAAAAAAUGCAAGCCAAUACAUUUUGGAGAAAAUCACAUCAAACAAUUUAGUGGAAGGCAGAAACCUGGAAAGUAGUUAAUGCCAAAAAAGGCUUGCGGUGACGAUGGCCAUUAAAAGGCUUAUCAGACUAUAAUGCAAUAUGACGGGGGGGGAGGGGAGGACCUCACCAGAAAUUCCGGCCUACAUAUGCAGCAACACUGCAACACAGAGCAGAGUUAGUCCAUCUCCCUAGAGCUCGGAUGAGACCACACCUGGAAUACUGCAAACAGUCCUGGGCAAAAAGCCAGGAAAGCGUCAACACAUUUGAGGAAAUUCAGAGAAGAGCAACAAAAAUGAUGAAGAGGCUGGAGGGACUGACUUACGAGGGGAGUUAAAAAACCAAAUAUGGAUUGCUCCCCCUUAAUGAUGAUUAAGGGAGAGAGAAAGAAUCAUCUACAAGGAUGAAGAGGAGAGAGGAAUUGUUGAGGAUGGCUCAAAGGGGUGUAACUGGGAGUGAUGGAAUGAUGCCGAACAAAGUUAAAUGUAGGCUCUCCUUCUAACAAUGAGUGCCAUUAGACUGUGGAAUAGUCUCCCCUGGGAAGAGAUGGGAUCUCCACUGCUGACGAGACAAGGCAGUAAAGAUCAUCCAAUCAGAAAGAGUCCUGCACUGACAGGGGAAGAGACCAGAUGAACAAAUAGGUCUCCCCCAAGUCUAGUUUCCGGUGUACUACUAGAGAGGAUUUUCCUCAGUGUGGGAGUGAUUUUAAGGGUAGAGGUUCUGCAUACAACUACACAAUUUGCAUGAACAGAGUCUUUGCCCGAGCAAAUUAAGUGUACAAUUGCCCACUUUUCUCUUUUUUGAAAAUCUGGCCCUAAUGCAAUUUUGGAGGGGCACCAGGUACAGCACCAGAAUGAGAACAGGCACACUUCAUGUCACACACCCUCCCUCUAACAUCCAUUAUUACACUUUAAAAUGACCAGUCUAGUGAGCUGCCAAUAUAAUAUACCCCUUCUGCAUCCUUGCCACGCUGGGGCUAUGCCCUUACCAGCUGCUCAGACUUGUUGCACCAUCAUUCUGCCAUUCCAACAGGCAUGUGAAUUCUCUCUCUUUACAAAGUGCAAUAAAUAACAAGGAGAGAGAUUAAUUAAGGAGACCAUAAAUUGUUCCCAGGGCUUUGCUGCCUUAAGUUAUGUUUUCUCUCUAUUUUUAAUUUCUUUUCUCCUUGAUUAAAAAACAUAGCUUAAUAAACAAUUCCACACUUGCUAUUAUACCCAAAUUCAUUAUAUAUUUUAAAAAGAAAUCAAUGUAUAUGUUACUGGAGCACCUGUGAGGGCAACAGAAAUCCUUGAGUUAAUUGUAUAGAAAACACUCUAGCAUAAGUACCUCCUCAUGGGAAAUUCAUCUUUUGGUCCCAAAGCACAUUCCAGAUGGUAUUCAUACAGCUAUCACUUUGCUCAGCAUUGAAAUGUACCCACUUCUAGGACAGCGCACAACAGCCAUUUAACAGUGCCCCCAAAACACUGCACAUCCAUUUAAGGCAGGGAGCGAAGAAUAGCUCAUCUAAGUGACAGUGCAGGUGGACUUUGCAGAGGUAGACUAUAGAAUAUAAUCACCCACUUGAAAUUAGGCAAAGACACUAGCAGCCCAAUAUCAAAGAGUGGGUUCCAUUUCCAGCACCACGUCCCCACCAGCUUAAGACAAACCUGAGCUGAAGGCAGCUGUUUGGGCUCAGGGACUGACGCACCAUGUCACUGUGGUAGCUCAAGAGAACUUAUGCAAGCUCCUUUCUUAUCCUGCAUCUUCCGAUUAUUGCACUAAGAUAGCCUGAUGAGAGGCUGGGACCCAAAAGGGAAGCCUGAUUUUCCUCAGCCCAGGCAUGCUGGCACAAGGCAGGGCUCUUUGAUAGAAGCGAAGGAGAACACCUGGGGAAAUUAAACAGGAGGAGACUGCUCCCAGGAAACCUUCCUCCCUCUUAGAAAAAAAACAGUGUCAUAGAACUGAGCACCACGGUCAGUGCGUCCUCACUCCUGCUUCUCCCUAGACUUCAUAGGUCAAAAGGUCCUUCCCUCCCUCCCGCAGCCACACCCAGACCGGCUUCUCUUCAUGCCACGUGGGCAAGAAAGGGUUAACUGUCACCACCAUUUCCAAAAAACAGCUCACAAGUCCUUGAUGACAAUUAACAAAUAAAUAAAUAAAAAGAUUCCAAUUUAUAGAUGGCAACAGUUUCCCUGGCUCCUCCGCUGGGAGUCAUCAUGUCAUGCUUAAUCUCUCUGUUAAAUAAACAGUGCUAUACCGCGAGACAGACCAGGUGGCAGAGAGCUGACAAGAGGGCCCCCUAACGAGAGGCGCGCAGGCCUGAUCGUUAAAUACCACAGGUGUCCCAGCAGCCGUGUCGCUACAGCGUGUUCAGAUGUACAACACGGCAUGGGCACGGGCCAAAGGCAGGAGAUUAAUACUACUGGGGUGGGGGAGGGAAGAAGUGAAAGGAAAGGAUGAGGGACAGUGGAGGAAACCAGAGGAGAGAGAGAAAAAAAGAGAGACCACUGCUGUGGCAAUGGUGAGGGAGGAGUUUCUCCCCGUCCCUCCCACCGUCCCUUCUGUCUCCAUGGCUUUGAGUUGCCCCCUCAAACAGUAUAGUAGACGGACUGUAUGCUGGGGGCUUUACCCCCUCUGGGGCAGACUCCAGCUCCAGCCACUGUCAGAGGGGCUGCCAUUGCCAUCUGCUGUGGGCAAGAGGCAGCCUAGAGGAGUAGGACAGGUGGCUGAUAUGAUCUGGUAGGUCAGGAGAUAAUACAAGGGACAGAUGCAGCAACGGGACUGACCUGACACAGCUGGAGACAGGACAUGAGACGAAAUGAACCAUUGGUCUGAUCUGGUAUAGAUUAAAAUAAGAUAUUGGACAAGAGGGGCUAUUGGUCUGGCAGGGCUGGAGACAGGACUAGAUGGGCUACUGGUCUGCUCUAGAAGGCCAAGUCUUACAUGGCCAUUUAGGACACAAAACCCCAACAUCUCCCUGACUCCAUUAUUCAAAAGUCAAGCGGCUGCUGGGCCAUGCUGGGGCUUGCUGAUGAAGUCCAAGCACGUUGUGUGGCAAGGGCGGCGGGAGAGGGAGGCUGUUUUAAAGAGAGAGAAUGCAGAAUGACAGAAGGUGCUCUGCCUCAUCCCCACCACACUGCAUGGCCCCUCCUAGCAACAUAACAGAACGAGACAGAUCUCCUCUGUGACGUUGCACUCUAUAUGAUUUUAUGAAAAUAUGCUAAUGAGUGUGAAUAUAAUGUAACUGGAAUAUGCUUCAUGCAAAAGGUCUCUUGUAAGGUAUCAUUACAAAGCUUAUAAUCUACUGAGUGCGGUCAUCCUAUUUGUAUAAAUAUAUCAGUCUUGUUUCUGAAACUAGAAAUAUGAAAUAUAACUCUGAGGUCCUAUUGUAGUUAUGCAAAGCGUGGGCCAUUAAUGGUCGUUUGGAAUCUUGAUGGCGCCCAUCAACCAGGACAAUUGACUCUGGAUGGCUCUGUUUGCUUGCAAGCCUUCCUGUGAGUCAGGCUGGGAGGAAUGAGGGCUUGGGGUCUUACAGUGCCAUGUGAUCAUGUCACCUGAACUGGAAUCCAUCUUUAACCUGGUGCUUUUCCAUUUAGAAGGAGGGGUGGGAACCCAGAGAGGGACAAAGGAUUCCCGCCUUGUGCAAAAGCUAUAUAAGGGAGUGGAACAGAACAAAGGGGGCUGCAAUCAUGAGAAAUCCCCUAGCUACAAGCUGAGCUGGAACAAGGGCUGUGCCAGGGGAAAAGAUUGUGUCCAGACUGGGAAGGCAUCCAGUCUGUGAUAGAAGCUUAUUGAAACAUCUCUGAGGGUGAGAUUUUAAUCUAUAUUCAGUUUUCUUACUGUAUUAGGCUUAGACCUGCGUGUUUUAUUUUAUUUCACUUGGUAAUUCACUUUGUUCUCUCUGUUAUUACUUGGAACCACUUAAAUCCUACUUUUUGUAUUUAAUAAAAUCACUUUUUACUUAUUAAUUA